GUCAGUGUGGUGUAAUGGUUUAAGUGUUGGACUAUGACUCUGGUGACCAGGGUUUGAUUCCCUGCUCAGACA